UACGUAGGGUGCGAGCGUUGUCCGGAAUUAUUGGGCGUAAAGAGCUCGUAGGCGGUGUGUCGCGUCGGUCGUGAAAACUUUCAGCUUAACUGGGAGCUUGCGGUCGAUACGGGCAUCACUGGAGUUCGGCAGGGGAGACUGGAAUUCCUGGUGUAGCGGUGAAAUGCGCAGAUAUCAGGAGGAACACCGGUGGCGAAGGCGGGUCUCUGGGCCGAUACUGACGCUGCGGAGCGAAAGCGUGGGGAGCGAACAGG
rnacentral:rRNA from 1 species